rfam:Haemonchus placei strain MHpl1 genome assembly, scaffold: HPLM_contig0000438
UUAGCUUUGAUAUGUCUGGUAUUCUUGGGUUCAGUGAUAACCAGAACUAUUAGACAUAUCGAAGAUCGA